rnacentral:rRNA from 1 species
UACAGAGGUCCCAAGCGUUGUUCGGAUUCACUGGGCGUAAGGGGUGCGUAGGUGGUAAGGCAAGUCAGGUGUGAAAUCUCCGGGCUCAACCCGGAAAUGGCAUCCGAAACUACCUUGCUAGAGGGUUUGAGGGGGGACUGGAAUACUUGGUGUAGCAGUGAAAUGCGUAGAUAUCAAGUGGAACACCAGUGGCGAAGGCGAGUCCCUGGAAAACUCCUGACACUGAGGCACGAAAGCUAGGGGAGCAAACAGG